UACAGAGGUGGCAAGCGUUGUUCGGAAUUACUGGGCGUAAAGGGCGCGUAGGCGGCUUUUUAAGUCAGACGUGAAAUCCCCCGGCUUAACCUGGGAACUGCGUCUGAUACUGUCGGGCUCGAGUCCGGAAGAGGAGUGUGGAAUUCCUGGUGUAGCGGUGAAAUGCGCAGAUAUCAGGAGGAACACCAAUGGCGAAGGCAGCACUCUGGGACGUGACUGACGCUGAGACGCGAAAGCGUGGGGAGCAAACAGG
rnacentral:rRNA from 1 species